GACGAACGCUGGCGGCGUGCCUAAUACAUGCAAGUCGAACGCAGUGGGGACGGGUGAGUAACACGUGGGUAACCUCCCAUCAGAGGGGAUAACACUUGGAAACAGGUGCUAAACCGAUACUGAUGGAUGGACCCGGGGUGCAUUAGCUAGUUGGUGAGGUAACGGCUCACCAAGGCCACGAUGCAUAGCCGGCCUGAGAGGGUGAUCGGCCACACUGGGACUGAGACACGGCCCAGACUCCUACGGGAGGCAGCAGUAGGGAAUAUUCGGCAAUGGACGAAAGUCUGACCGAGCAACGCCGCGUGAGUGAAGAAGGCUUUCGGAUCGUAAAGCUCUGUUGUUAGGGAGGCGGUAUCUAACCAAGAAGCCACGGCUAACUACGUGCCAGCAGCCGCGGUAAUUC
rnacentral:rRNA from 1 species